AGCAGCCGCGGUAAUUCCAGCUCCAAUAGCGUAUAUUAAAGUUGUUGCAGUUAAAAAGCUCGUAGUUGAAUUUCGGGAUUUGUCCAUUGGUCGGGCCUCACGGUCCGUACUGGUGUGAUGGGUUCCUACCUUCUGAAUAACCAGCAUGCCAUUUAGUUGGUGCGCCGGGGAAGCAGAGCUAUUACCUUGAAAAAUUAGAGUGCUUAAAGCAGGCUAUUUGCUUGAAUAGAUUAGCAUGGAAUAAUAAAAUAGGACGGCAUGGUUCUAUUUUGUUGGUUUCUAGGAUCACCGUAAUGAUUAAUAGGGAUAGUUGGGGGCAUUAGUAUUCAAUUGUCAGAGGUGAAAUUCUUGGAUUUAUUGAAGACUAACUUCUGCGAAAGCAUUUGCCAAGGAUGUUUUCAUUAAUCAAGAACGAAAGUUAGGGGAUCGAAGACGAUCAGAUACCGUCGUAGUCUUAACCAUAAACUAUGCCGACUAGGGAUCGGACGAUGUUAAUUUUAUAAUGACUCUUUCGGCG
rnacentral:rRNA from 1 species